AAUACUCUCUCCUCCCUCCACCAUAAAUAAAUACCCACCCGCAAUUUCCCACCUAUUUUCCGCGAAGAAUUUCACGCCUUCAAUCAGAUUCAAUUCCAGUUACUCUCUGAUUCAUCGCGGAAAUUAACUACUCUAUCUCAAUCAAUGAUGAAGAAAUCCGGCGCCAUCGCCGCCUCCGUCGCCGCUUCCGCCACCGCGAUCUCGUCGGCGUCGUCUGCCAAAUUUCACUUCCCUCGCGAGGAUGAUCGGGCGGAGAAACACACCGAGAAGUCUGCAUCACAGGGAUCGUCUUCUUCGGAAAAAUUCGCGCCGAGGUUUGAUGGAUUGAGAUUCAUAGAGACGCUGGUGACAGCUCAUAGAUAAGAUCAUCUGCGCGUUUCUAAUUUUUUUUCCUCUUCUUUUUCCCUAUUUUUGGUCCAAGUAAUUAAUUAAAAGGUUUGGAUGUUGAGUAUUACAAGGGACCGGAUGAUUUGUAGGCUAAUUUGGCGUUAUUAGGUUGAUUUAUAUUGUUGUAUCAUUGCUCUGUAUUGAUGUCGUUUUGACUGAGCUUAUAAGCUUCUGAGAAGUGUUUGACAAAAUAAACUUAUGAAUAGCUUAUAAUUUUUGAAAA